rnacentral:rRNA from 1 species
CCUUAGAGUUUGAUCCUGGCUCAAGAGGACCCCUGGCGGCGUGCUUAACACAUGCAAGUCGAACGGGAAACAUUUUAUUGAAGCUUCGGCAGAUUUAGUUUGUUUCUAGUGGCGGACGGGUGAGUAACGCGUGGGUAACCUGCCUCACACUGGGGGAUAACAGUCAGAAAUGACUGCUAAUACCGCAUAAGCGCACGGGAUUGCAUGAUCCAGUGUGAAAAACUCCGGUGGUGUGAGAUGGACCCGCGUUGGAUUAGCCAGUUGGCAGGGUAACGGCCUACCAAAGCGACGAUCCAUAGCCGGCCUGAGAGGGUGAACGGCCACAUUGGGACUGAGACACGGCCCAGACUCCUACGGGAGGCAGCAGUGGGGAAUAUUGCACAAUGGGGGAAACCCUGAUGCAGCGACGCCGCGUGAAGGAAGAAGUAUCUCGGUAUGUAAACUUCUAUCAGCAGGGAAGAAAAUGACGGUACCUGACUAAGAAGCCCCGGCUAACUACGUGCCAGCAGCCGCGGUAAUACGUAGGGGGCAAGCGUUAUCCGGAUUUACUGGGUGUAAAGGGAGCGUAGACGGAGCAGCAAGUCUGAUGUGAAAGGCGGGGGCUCAACCCCUGGACUGCAUUGGAAACUGUUGAUCUUGAGUACCGGAGAGGUAAGCGGAAUUCCUAGUGUAGCGGUGAAAUGCGUAGAUAUUAGGAGGAACACCAGUGGCGAAGGCGGCUUACUGGACGGUAACUGACGUUGAGGCUCGAAAGCGUGGGGAGCAAACAAGAUUAGAUACCCUGGUAGUCCACGCCGUAAACG